CCUUCCCCCUCCGCCCGAGGAAGCAGCAGCACCCAGCCGAGGGGUCGCCUCGUCGCCCAGCAGGCCGGGGCUCCCCUGCGCAGGAUCUCCUCAGACUCGCGCAGGGUUACUUCGCCGCAGAAACUGAAGCACGGCCAGGAGCGUCUGACGGGAGACCGCGGUUUUGCGACAGUCAGGGCGUGAAGAAAAGGGAUUGGACGACACCCACCCGUGGCUUGACGGCACUUCCGGUUCCGGUAACCUAUCAAUCCACUGCCGUGGCUCAAUACAUUGGAACUCUGAGAGCUAUGUGUUGUCGAAGGUUUUCAUGGCCGGAAUUAUUGGGUUGUUGUGAGUUUUCCGGGCUGAUGUUAGCUAGCCGUCGUUGAUUCAAGGCAUAAUUCAUAAAAACCACUCUGAAAACAGGAAUUCCAGACAUGAAUCAAUCAGGGCCAGCUAACACCUCCCAACAAAGGAUUCUCCCACGCAGUUAGCAGCCAGACCUCGAAACUGAAAGGCUAUUCCAUGCUAAUCAAGGAUGACAGUUGCAACAUUCACACUUGUCUCAGGCAGACAAGAGUUUUUUCUCCCACCUUGAACAUUCCACAGAUAUAUAAACCCCACUUGCCUAGUUUCCAACAGACCUCACAACCUCUGAGGGUGCCUGGCAACGUCAAGAGAUAAUGCUUCUGGAACAUGGCCAUACAGCCCGUAAAACUCACAGCAACCCAGUGAGAGCUGUUUUUACAAGGUCUUUAGCCUUCCCUGCAGAAUAGUGCUGGUUUCUCACCAAACUAUAUAGCAUAGCAUUCCAUAUCACUGAGCCACGGCAGUUAAAGCAUUGUCAAACUGUAUUCAUUCUACAGUAUAUGCACUCCAAGUCCCACCCUCACUACUAAACACUAUCCAAUUUUACCAAGCUGAUUAUUUAAUCCGGUUUUAAGUGCUUCAAUGUAUUUUAGCUAAUUAUUACAGGAGUGUUAGGAUAAGGUAUUGUGUUUAUUGUGUCUUUGUAGUAAAGGUAAAGGUUUC
rnacentral:lncRNA from 1 species